UACGGAGGAUCCAAGCGUUAUCCGGAUUUAUUGGGUUUAAAGGGUGCGUAGGCGGCCUGUUAAGUCAGGGGUGAAAGACGGUGGCUCAACCAUCGCAGUGCCUUUGAUACUGACGGGCUUGAAUGCAGCUGAGGUAGGCGGAAUGUGACAAGUAGCGGUGAAAUGCAUAGAUAUGUCACAGAACACCAAUUGCGAAGGCAGCUUACUAAAGUGUGAUUGACGCUGAGGCACGAAAGCGUGGGGAUCAAACAGGAUUAGAUACCCGGGUAGUCC
rnacentral:rRNA from 1 species